AGAAAUGUUUAUAAAACAUUUUUGAUUAAUAUCUGCGUUAAGCAUAGGUUUGAUGUAUAAUAAAAUAUCUUUUUGAUGUAACAUCUAAAUAAUUUUCUUGUCCUAAUUAAAAAUAUAAGCUGGUAAUAUCUAAUGAAUAUUUAAAUAACGUCUUAACAAAAUAUUUUUUCGAUUUUAUUUAGAAAAUAUUAGUUGAAGACCCUUUUAUAAACAUUCUAACAUAAUAUGUCUUCUAGAUAUUUGUAAGAUGUAUGACAGAAAUGUUUGUCAAAUGUUUGUUAGUAAUAUUUGAGUGAAGCAAGUGUUAAAUAUUUUUUAGAUAUCACAUUAACAUGAAUGACUCCUCAUUUUUAUAGAAGAGCUUUAAUAAUUUCAAAGAGGUUAUAUGAGAUAAUCUCCUUGAUAAUUUUAACCUUUGAGGAACAUUUCAAUCGUGUAUUAUUAUAACUUUUUUCGUUCAACUUUAAUUGAUGCAACAUAAUAAACAAAUAUAUACAGAGUGAUAUUUGAUACAACCAUUCUGUUAAUCAAACACAUUCUGAUAAGGUUAACCAGAUGUUGGACACAUUUCAAAGAUAGUUGCUAUGGUAAUUAAGAUUAUAGAAAAUCUAAAUGUAAUGGGAUGGUCAUUUUUGAGGUUAUUUCCGGUCGUCUAUUUGUAACUUCCGAAAGCAGUGAAAACAAAGAAAACUAAAAGAGAAAAUCACAGUUCAAAGAGAAAGAAACAUAUCUGGUAUUUGAGAACUACAGAAGACAAAUUAAAGCAGAGUGCAAAAUGAAUUUUAAUAAUCAUUGAAAAUAUUCUGGCUUCAAAAUGCAUGGAAAUGGAGAUGGGACAAAAUGCAUUCUACCAUUUGAUAGCCCAGAAUGAAUUACUUUAAAAGGCUAACAAGAAGAGAAGGCUCGCAGUAGAAGAUACAGACUCUGAAUAAUUAAUAAAAUGUUAAAAUGCUA